rfam:Danio rerio chromosome 7, GRCz11 reference primary assembly.
CCAAAGGCUCUUUUAAGAGCCACCCAUGUUCUCAUCUAAAGAGCU